UUAUGGCCAUAUCACAUUGAAACACCAGUUCUUGUUUGAUCACUGGUUAAGCAAGAUCAACCUUGGUUAGUACCUAGAUGGGUAACCACUUGGGAAUACCAGAUGCUGUAAG